GAUGAACGCUGACAGAAUGCUUAACACAUGCAAGUCAACUUGAACUUCGGUUUGGGUGGCGGACGGGUGAGUAACGCGUAAAGAACUUGCCUCACAGUUAGGGACAACAUUUGGAAACGAAUGCUAAUACCUGAUAUUAUGAUUUUAGGGCAUCCUAGAAUUAUGAAAGCUAUAUGCGCUGUGAGAGAGCUUUGCGUCCCAUUAGCUAGUUGGAGAGGUAACGGCUCACCAAGGCGAUGAUGGGUAGCCGGCCUGAGAGGGUGAACGGCCACAAGGGGACUGAGACACGGCCCUUACUCCUACGGGAGGCAGCAGUGGGGAAUAUUGGACAAUGGACCAAGAGUCUGAUCCAGCAAUUCUGUGUGCACGAUGAAGCUUUUCGGAAUGUAAAGUGCUUUCAGUUGGGAAGAAAAAAAUGACGAUACCAACAGAAGAAGUGACGGCUAAAUACGUG
rnacentral:rRNA from 1 species